ensembl:misc_RNA Metazoa_SRP Metazoan signal recognition particle RNA
GCCGGGCGUGGUGGCUCGUGCCUGUAAUCCCAGCUAUUUGGGAGGCUGAGGUGGGUGGAUCACCUGAGGUCAGGAGUUUAAGGCCAGCCUGGCCAACAUGGUGAAACCCCAUCUCUA